AACGGCUUUGUGUUUACAUUUGGUAUUUAUGAAGUUCUGUGUUUUUUCUUUAGUUUUUGGUUAAAAAAGGAAAAAAGUUGAGUCGAAAAAAAGGCGAUUUAAACUGAUCUUUUCACAAGAGUCGAGAAAAUGGAAUUUAUGGAACUUAUGUCUAUUGAGUACAUUAAUAGACAUAAGAAACCAUAGAGGAAUGGAUGCAACUAUCACUGGCUUACCUGAUAACUAGGGAGAGGGUUAUGUAAAAUAAUAUUUUACAUUAUACUCCUACAUGGUGAUCUUAGUGUCUCUGAAGCCGUGGCAGCAUCUAGUGCAGUGAAUCAGUUAUCUAAAUGCCAAGAAAAAGCUGUUAGAUCGUGGGCCGACUCCUUAGCAGGGUAUUUCUGGACCACCGGGAGGCGGUGUUUAUCAAUUGGAACUACCGAGACGAUGCCUGUCUCUCAGGAAAAGUAACCAAUUGUAUUCUCCUAUUUAUUUUAACAUUGCAUUAUUUAAAUAUGAUAUUAUUUUAAUAUGGUAU